AUAACAUUUAACAGUUUGAAAUUGUAGAAAAGAACCAUAUGGAAAUCUGGAGUUGUAAAGUAUAAUAACAAAAAUUACAAUUCAUUAGAGAGGUUUAGUACUAGAUUUUAACUGGUAGAAUAAACAAUCAUUGAAUUUGAAGAUAGACUGAUAGAAAUCAUCCAGUUUAAAAAGUACAGAAUAAAGAAGUAAGUAAAAUGCAGUUUCAGAGAAAUGCCAGAAGCCAUUGAGAAUACCAACAUAUGUGCAGUGGUAGUGCCAGAACAUGAGGAUAACAAGCUGAGAGAAAAAAUAUUUAAAGAAAUAAUACCUGAAAAUUUUCUAUAUUAUGAAAAAAAUUAAACAUCCAAGAAGUGUAAAGAAUUCCAAGUAUAAUAAUUGCAAAUAUAUUCCCUCUUAGAUACAUCAAAGUAAAAUGAAAGUAAAAAAAAAAUCUUGAAAGCAUGAAGAGAAUAAUGGCUGAUGUACAAGGAAACUCUAAUAAUACAAUAAUAAUUAAGGCCACAGUGGAGGUGUAUGACAUAUUAAUAGUGUAGAAGAAGUAAAUUCAAAAUUUUACCUGAAGCACGACUGACAUUCUUAAAUCAAGGUAAAGACAUUGCUAGAUAAACAAAAACUGGGAAUGUGUUCUUAGCAGACCCACCUUGUAAGAAAAGCUAAUUUUUGAGAAUGAAGAAUGCUGACCCCAAACUGUAAUUGAAAUUCCUAUGAAAAAUCAGAGUACCAGUCAUAAUUAUGUAAUAAUUAUAGAGGCUAGUAUAAAUGCAUAUUUUUUAUGUAUUAGCUGGCAUAUAUGCCUAUACACUGUAUACUUAUAAAUAUUCAUAUAUGUGUAUUGUGUGCAGUAUUUCCAUAUUUGUAUUUGUGAGCUUACAACAUAUAGAAAUGAGAUCUAUUUAAUAAUAUCACAAAGGAUGUGGUUGAGAACAAAACUGUUGUAAUAACGAAAUGAUUCUUUUUUUUUUUUUUUUUUUUUGAGACAGAGUUU